UUGUACUGGAUAUACAUGCAGCCUGGGUUAUUGCGAACGGGAGCAUUUACUAAACGGCGGUUUGUGCAUUUCAUGCUGAGGGUACCGUAACAGUAGCCAACACUGUUUAUAUAUAUAUAUAUAUAUAUAUAUAUAUAUAUAUAUAUUUAUAUAUAUAUAUAUUUUUUUUUAUUUUUAUUUUUUUUAAAUUGGGGUAGCCCCCAACAUAUUGGGACAUAUAAAAACAGACAACUCUGUUCUCUGUUGACAUUAUAGUUGUGCAGGCACUUUGUUGACUCUAGAGAACCUCGGGCCAAUCGCACAUCCCCGUGAUGGCGACUUUGCAUUCGGAUGUCAUCCAUAUCAACUUUCGAUGCCAGUUUCUGCGCCUACCAUGGUGACCACGGGUAACGGGGAAUCAGGGUUCCAUUCCGUACAGGGACCCUGAGAAACGGCUACCACAUGCAAGGAAGGCAGCAGGCGCAAAUGACCCACUCCCAACGCGGGAAGGUAGUGACGACAAAUAACAAUACAGGACUCUUUAGAGACCCUGUAAUUGUAAUGAAUCCACUUGAAAUCCUUUAACUCUGAUCAAUUGGAGGGAAGUCUGGUGCAGAGCCACUGACCCGUGCGUGCUGCAGCUGAAACUCCACU